GACGAACGCUGGCGGCGUGCUUAACACAUGCAAGUCGAACGGAAAGGCCCGGCGUUUGCGGGGUGCUCGAGUGGCGAACGGGUGAGUAACACGUGAGUAACCUGCCCUUGACUUUGGGAUAACUUCAGGAAACUGGGGCGAAUACCGGAUAGGAGCUCUUGCUGCAUGGGGGGGGUUGGAAAGAUUCGGCCGUUGGGGAUGGACUCGCGGCUUAUCAGCUUGAUGGUGGGGUAGUGGCGUCCCAAGGCUUUGACGGGUAGCCGGCCUGAGAGGGUGACCGGCCACAUUGGGACUGCGGUACGCCGCAGACUCCUACGGUCGGCAGCAGUCGGGAAUAUUGCGCAAUGGGCGGACGCCUGUUGCAGCGGCGCCCCGUGCGGGAUGACGGCCUUCGGGUUGUAAACCGCUUUCGCCGGUGACGAAGCGUUCGUGACGGUACUGGGUCAAGAAGCACCGGCUAACUACGUG
rnacentral:rRNA from 1 species